AUUGAACGCUGGCGGCAGGCUUAACACAUGCAAGUCGAGCGCGGGGCGGACGGGUGAGUAGUGUCUGGGAAACUGCCUGAGGGAGGGGGAUCAAUACUGGACACGGUCGCUAAUACCACAUACCCUCAUGUGUGCCCAGAGGGGAUUAGCUAGUGGGUGGGGUAAUGGCUCACCUAGGCGACGAUCCCUAUCUGGUCUGAGAGGAUGACCCGCCACACGGGAACUGGGACACGGUCCAGACUCCUACGGGAGGCAGCAGUGGGGAAUAUUGCACAAUGGGCGCAAGCCUGAUGCAGCCAUGCCGCGUGUGUGAAGAAGGCCUUCGGGUUGUAAAGCACUUUUAGCGAGGAGGCGUUACUCGAAGAAGAAGCACCGGCUAACUCCGUGCCAGCAGCCGCGGUAAUAC
rnacentral:rRNA from 1 species